AUGCUCAGGAUUCAGGAUGACAUCAGGAUGAUGUCCUCAAUGGAUUGAGCAGGACCCGUCAGGAUGAUAGCGACAGGGAUAGGCUUCAACGAUGAAGCAACAGGGAACAGCUCAGGAUGAGAUAAGGGACACCUCCAGGACGGAGAAUGUGAACCGCUAUGGAGAGUGGUGCUCAGGGAUGUACAGGGAUAUUCACCGGGAAGGUGUCAGCAACGGAUGGCGGAAGGACGAGUUUUCACGGAAGAGCAGGGAGCAUCAAGGUAGCGGGAUUGCUGCAAACGAACCGGGAGCACUGUUAACACAGUGCUCCCUUUUUUUAUG
rnacentral:other from 1 species